CCUAAGUAUAGUUUUAACACUAUUCAUGCUCAAUGUUUAACCGUUCGUCUCAUUUGAAAAAUAAUUAUAAUUAGUAUUUUUAUUGUUAUUAGAUAAUACAUGAAUAGUACUUUAUGUGUGACUAAUAUUUUUAAUUUUUUUUAUAAAAUUUUUAAAUAAGACGGACGGUCAAAACGCUGGACACGGAUAUCUAUGGCUAUACUUAUU
rfam:Oryza sativa Japonica Group DNA, chromosome 10, cultivar: Nipponbare, complete sequence.